UGAUUUUAAAACCACUUCAUAUUUCUGUUUUGUUUAUUUAUGCGCAACAUUCAAGUGUUUCGCCGUCUUUUUAAAUAUAGGUGAAAAUGAAUUAUAAUGGAUGUAAAUUAAUUUUUUCAACUAGAAGGACUUGUGAAAUUUAAAGAUUUGAAGUAACCGAAAUUUAAUCUUAUUUGGAAUUUUUAAUUAGAAAUAGUUGGGGUGUAAAGAAGUGUAUUUCUUAUAUCCUUACAGCUUUUCGGAUUUUGUUAAGUCUUAUUUUUCGACCGAGGAAAAUGAUGGUGUAUUAGAAUUAAUCAUGUAAACAGACAUAUGAUGGUUGUUGAAAGGUUACGGGGAUAAGUUAAAGUAGUGUUAGGUGAAAAUUACAGAAAAGGAUAAUAAAAACUAGCGUCAGAGUGACACAAUAUUGUAAAGGAGAGCAAAGGGAUUAUUGUGAUGAAUUACAUUCGAGAAACUAAAUGUAGUGAUGAAUUUCUGAGACCAAAAACUGACAGGAGGUUAUUUAAAACGACAUGUAGUCAAAAUGACGAAUUUUCUUUGUUUAAAAGCAGGACAUUCAUAGAACAAACAGGCGGGGCAUCCAUAAAAUCACUACCCCCAAGGAAAAUUACACCAACAAUCUAUUUCACAACUGAUCCGCACGUGAGGAAAACACUUUUACAUUUCGAAAUUAAAUUUUUCUAUGGAAGAGACGACCGCUUUAAGUUUCCUGUCGUGACUAAACGACCACACACUCCUAGGGCACCAGCUGCAUAUUCGUGGAAUUGUUCCAAUGAAGCAUUCUCACAGAUGUACAGAAGACAAAGGAACAGACAUCUGAUCUCACCAGUUUGCACAACAAAUCUUCAGAAACCAUAGCAACAACUGAUGAUUCUCAGGAAACCAUCCAUAUACUAUAUCAUCAAUAUGCUUAUACAAAAACAAUAAUUAUUCAUAUACAGUUGUGAUGGAUAUGUUAGUUUCGAACAUUAAAAUUUCAAAUGCCAUAAAAUUACUUGGCCCGGUGAAUUUACAGCUUGGACGAAUGUUAUUACGAAUAAGAGAAACAAGUACCUGUGUAAUAUCAAUUGAACAAUGCACUGCAAUUACAAAAAUAGAAAAAAAUAAAAAAAUAAUAUAGCAAAUGAAUAUCACUAUACCAAAACCCGUAUUAAUCAUGCCUCACCUAUUGGCAUAACUCCGACGCUACCUUAUAUAAAAAAAUCAGAUAGCAAUAAGAACCAAUAGUCCUGUAAAGACACAAACAAAAGAGACAAAAUGACUGAAAGACAAGAAAAGACCGCAAAACACUUCACAGAAUAGGCCAAAAAAUAGCGGUAUGAACCACAAUAGUGCGGGGAUUACUUGAGGUGCUCCGGAAGGGUGAGCAGUUUAUGCUCCUGGAACGACACCAUGUCACCGAUUAAACCAUAAACUGUAUACUUGCAUAUGAAAGGUUUAUUUUAUCUUUUUAAGCAUUUGAGCCGAAAACGAAAAACCAUCUUGAUAUUUAUCAAUAGUGUUUUCAACUUUUUCUGCACGCUUUUCUGUAGAAACCUAUUUCAUUGGCCUUUGAAGAUUCAUUUUCUCAAUAAGUUACUGGAAGAUGAAAAUGGUAAUAUUGCAGAGAACUUAUGUUUGCACCUGGUUACGACUAGCAGACAAAAAUCUGGUGUCCAAUCUAUUUGUUUUGCUGUAGAACACAAGCGCCAGAAUUUGAACCUUAUUUAAAACGAAAAAAUCGAUAGAUGCUUUAAUCGUAAGAACAAUUAUUGCCAAUUUAUCUUUAUAAUUGUAUUUCAUUUCUUGGGAAAAGAAGUAUACGCAUUGUAUUCAUUUUAUCUUAACUAUUAAGCACACUUAUUUGCUUUGACAGGAUUAUAGAGUUUUUCAUUUUGUUCAGAAUGUAAAAUGAAAUUUAUUAUAAACAAUAUGUGUCGGUACGAUUUUCAUUUAAACAUGGUAUAACUUGCUCCGAGGACAAUUGCAGUAGUUGUCCUCGAUAUAAUAUAUCCUGCAGUUUUCAUCCUUCAAUUUUCCUCGAUACAAACUAUUCUGAAUUCAUCACCCUGAAAUCGUCUUCGAAAAGCUGCUACCCUGCAAAUAUAAUCCUACCAUUGUCCUCGAUACAAACUGUCAUUGUACUCGAAACAAGCUAUUCAGCAAUUUUCAUUCUGCAAUUCCUAUCGUAAAACUCCUUCACUAACACGUUUCACUUUUUGAAAAGAAGCUUUUUUUAUUUCUCUCUUUAAAAAUGUUCACUGGUAUGGCCACCAUUUGAAUUUCAUUAAAAACUUAUAACUUAUAAAAA